AGUACCUUUAAUUAAGUCCAGUGAGGCUUAUAAGGUAAACGGAUCGGUAGAAGAGCUCCAUGAGAUAGGGGCUCUUCUAGAAGCAGAGCCCCUUAGUUUACAAUUAAAGGUCAAACUAAGGGGUUCUUUUUCU
rfam:Clostridium lentocellum DSM 5427, complete genome.